GACAGACACACCUCCGAAUACAUUAAGGGCGUGCAUGAAUUUCUCGAAGUGGCUGAGGCAAACAAGCAGAAUGGUUUUAUGUGUUGUCCAUGCCCUAAAUGUGGGAAUACGAUGUCUUACUCUAACCGGAAAAUCCUGCACACCCACCUGCUUUAUAAGGGUUUCAUGCCACACUAUAAUGUUUGGACGAGGCACGGAGAAAUAGGGGUUAUGAUGGAAGACGGCGAAGAAGAAGAGGACGAUGAAAACUAUGUGCCCCGUGAAUACGAUGAUGCUGCAACGGGGGGAGCUGCUGGAGAUCAAGAGGAACCAGACAAUGUGCUCGAUGAUGCUGCAACGGGGGAAGCUGCUGAAGAUCAAGAGGAACCAGACGAUGUGCCCGAUGAUGAUGAUCUCCGUCGGGUCAUUGUCGAUGCAAGGACGCAAUGCGAAAGUCAAAAGGAUAAGCUGGAGUUCGAUCGCAUGUUAGAGGAUCACAAAAAAGGGUUGUACCCCAAUUGCGAAGAUGGCAACACAAAGCUCGGUACCGUACUGGAAUUGCUGCAGUGGAAGGCAGAGAAUGCUGUGCCUGACAAAGAAUUUGAAAAGCUACUAAAAAUAUUGAAGAAGAAGCUUCCAAAGGAUAACAAAUUUCCCGACAGU
rnacentral:rRNA from 1 species